CACUACAUUCCAGUAAUGAAGAGGAAGACCCUUUCCGUGGAAUGGAACCCUAUCUUGUCCGGAGACUUUCAUGUCGCAAUAUUCAGCUUCCCCCUCUCGCCUUCAGACAGUUGGAACAAGCUGACUUGAAAAGUGAAUCAGAGAACAUUCAACGACCAACCAGCCUCCCCCUGAAGAUUCUGCCGCUGAUUGCUAUCACUUCUGCAGAAUCCAGUGGGAGAAGACAUUUUAGUGAAAUUGUUUUACAAGGAAAAGCUGAAAAUGUAUUGAUGAAUGCUAAUAAACAUUUGCAAAAGGGCA
rnacentral:sRNA from 1 species